GGGUGCGUAACGCGUAUACAAUCUGCCUUACACUAAGGGAUAGCCCAGAGAAAUUUGGAUUAAUACCUUAUGGUUUAUUAAGAUGGCAUUCAUUUUAAUAAUAAAGAUUACGGUGUAAGAUGAGUAUGCGUACCAUUAGUUUGUUGGUAAGGUAACGGCUUACCAAGACUACGAUGGUUAGGGUCCCUGAUAGGGGUAUNCCCCACACUGGUACUGAGACACGGACCAGUCUCCUACGGGAGGCAUCNUUGAGGAAUAUUGGACAAUGGAGGAGNCUCUGAUCCAGCCAUGCCGCGUGCAGGAAGACGGUCCUAUGGAUUGUAAACUNCUUUUAUACAGGAAGAAUAAGGACUACGUGUAGUCUGGUGNCGGUACUGUAAGAAUAAGGACCGGCUNNCUCCGUGCCAGCANCCNCGGUNAUACGGAGGGUCCNAGCGUUAUCCGGAAUUAUUGGGUUUAAAGGGUCCGUAGGCGGGCCAUUAAGUCAGGGGUGAAAGUUUGCAGCUCAACUGUAGAAUUGCCUUUGAUACUGAUGGNCUUGAAUUAUUGUGAAGUGGUUAGAAUAUGUAGUGUAGCGGUGAAAUGCAUAGAUAUUACAUAGAAUACCGAUUGCGAAGGCAGAUCACUAACAAUAUAUUGACGCUGAUGGACNAAAGCGUGGGUAGCGAACAGGAUUAGAUACCCUGGUAGUCCNCGCCGUAAACGAUGGAUACUAGCUGUGUGGUUUUCGGACUGCGCGGCCAAGCGAAAGUGAUAAGUAUCCCACCUGGGGAGUACGUUCGCAAGAAUGAAACUCAAAGGAAUUGACGGGNNCCCGCACAAGCGGUGGAGCAUGUGGUUUAAUUCGAUGAUACGCGAGGAACCUUACCAGGGCUUAAAUGUAGAUUGACAGGUUUAGAGAUAGACUUUCCUUCGGGCAAUUUACAAGGUGCUNCAUGGUUGUCGUCAGCUCGUGCCGUGAGGUGUUAUGUUAAGUCCUAUAACGAGCGCAACCCCUNUUGUUAGUUACCAGCACAUUAUGGUGGGGNCUCUAGCAAGACUGCCGGUGCAAACCGUGAGGAAGGUGGGGAUGACGUCAAAUCAUCACGGCCCUUACGUCCUGGGCCACACACGUGCUACAAUGGUAGGUACAGAGAGCAGCCACUUAGCGAUAAGGANCGAAUCUAUAAAACCUAUCACAGUUCGGAUCGGAGUCUGCANCUCGACUCCGUGAAGCUGGAAUCGCUAGUAAUCGGAUAUCAGCCAUGAUCCGGUGAA
rnacentral:rRNA from 1 species